rnacentral:tRNA from 1 species
GCCCGGAUGGCGAAACUGGUAGACGCAAGGGACUUAAAAUCCCUCGAUGGCGACAUCAUGUCGGUUCGAUCCCGACUCCGGGCACCA